GCGUCAGCUGACUGCACGGCUGCUGCCGUCCCUGCAGUCGCUGAGACUCCAGGCCGCUGUCGCCUCUGCCGCCGCCGCCGCCGUCUCUGCCACCGCCGCCGCCGCCAUGGCUCAGUACAAGGGCGCCGCGAGCGAGGCGGGCCGCGCCAUGCACCUGAUGAAGAAGAGGGAGAAGCAGCGCGAGCAGAUGGAGCAGAUGAAACAGCGGAUCGCCGAGGAGAACAUAAUGAAAUCUAACAUCGACAAGAAGUUCUCUGCGCACUACGACGCUGUGGAGGCAGAGCUCAAGUCCAGCACCGUGGGUCUCGUAACCCUGAAUGAUAUGAAGGCCAAGCAGGAGGCCCUGGUGAAGGAGCGGGAGAAGCAGUUGGCCAAGAAAGAGCAGUCGAAGGAGCUGCAGCUGAAGCUCGAGAAGCUACGAGAGAAGGAACGCAAGAAGGAGGCCAAGCGGAAGAUCUCCAGCCUGUCCUUCACCCUGGAGGAAGAGGAGGAGGCCGGGGACGAGGAGGACGAGGUGGCCGUGUAUGAGGAGGAGCUGGAAAGGGAAGAGGUCUCCACGAAGAAGAGGAAAUUGGGGAAGAACCCCGAUGUGGACACCAGCUUCCUGCCUGACCGAGACCGCGAGGAAGAGGAAAACCGGCUGCGGGAGGAGCUGCGGCAGGAGUGGGAAGCCAAGCAGGAGAAGAUCAAGAGUGAGGAGAUCGAAAUCACCUUCAGUUACUGGGAUGGGUCUGGGCACCGGCGGACGGUCAAGAUGAAAAAGGGCAACACGAUGCAGCAGUUCCUGCAGAAAGCACUAGAGAUCCUGCGCAAAGACUUCAGCGAGCUCAGGUCCGCAGGGGUGGAGCAGCUCAUGUACAUCAAGGAGGACCUGAUCAUACCCCAUCACCACAGCUUCUACGACUUCAUCGUCACCAAGGCACGAGGGAAGAGUGGGCCGCUCUUUAACUUUGACGUCCACGACGACGUGCGGCUGCUCAGUGAUGCCACCGUGGAGAAGGAUGAGUCCCACGCGGGCAAGGUGGUGCUGCGGAGCUGGUACGAGAAGAACAAGCACAUCUUCCCCGCCAGCCGCUGGGAGCCCUACGACCCUGAGAAGAAGUGGGACAAGUACACGAUCCGGUGAAUGCCGAGGCUCCCCGGGCUCCCUCGGUUCUCGGCCCCUCCCGGGGUCUCCGGGACUCCAGGCGCUGCUCCCGCCCCCCACUUCCCUCAGCCCUGACGUGACAGGGGUGAGACACGACGGGGCUGGCCGUCCCCUGCCCCCGGUGGCGUCCUGUACCGCUCUGUUUCUUUUAUGAUAUUUCACAGAAAUGGAAUCAGACAGUUUCUGGUCUUUGUAUCUGGUGAGGAAGCGGAUACUUGGUGGCGGUGGGAGGGUGGAAGAGUAAUAUGAGUCUGCAGAGGGCCGUGGGUGACCCACUGGGGCCUGGCGGGCCCGCGUCCCGGCAGCCAAGCGGCACCCCACAGGGCACCUCAUGGCCCUGCGGUCGUUUACUGUGAGCGGUCUUGCGGUUCCUUUUCUGUCUCCUAGCUGCCAGUCCGAAGGGGACACGGCUGCCCUGUGGCUCCCAGCCGCCCGACAUCCCCACCACAGCUCUAGAAACGAGCUUUGCCCUCCCGGGGCUGCAGCCCACCCGGCAUCUCUUCGCAGUCCCCGCGUGGGAAGGCUGCUGGGGGUGCCCCACGCUUGCUGCUCAGCUCGGACUGCCGUCCUGGCCCCGAGGGCAACCUGCCUCGGGGUGGGCGCUCUUGCUCCCUGUCCUUGCCGCAACAGCCAGAUCCCCUGGCUCCCCUCGGGUAAGCAGAGGGAACAGGGUCAAGCCCUGGCUGGGAGUCAGCAUCCCAGCUCUGGGCCCGGUCCCACGUGCUGGACAAAUACCUAGAUAUGACAGUGGGCGACUUCGCCAGGUACAGAAGCUCCUGUGCCCUCCUCCCAUGGGCAGGGCUCUGUGUCCCUUUCUAAUGCGGCGUGGCCGAUCCUGGCUGGCAGUUAGGAGCUCUCUUUUGGGCUUCCUGGCCCUGUGUCUGGGGCAGAGCCAUCCGGGGUCAUUUGGAGGAGGAGGUGGGGGAGGGAAGUCGCCUAGGCCAGAGACCUCCGGGCACAGCAGGCAACGGGUGGCCCAGCCUGACCCUGGGUCCUGGAUGUGGGGGACAAGUGUGAGGACCUCAAUGGGGCCUUUUGUUUGGCACUGGGAAGCCUGGAGAAGGGAUCAUCUGGCCUUCUGCACCAACCCCCCUGCCGUCUUUGAAAAGAGUAGGCUUCUCCCGGCCAGGGAGCCCCUCUCAGCCAGCUUACCCAGUGGAAAUGGUUUGCAAGGGAACCGCCUCAGGCCCCAUAGCUUCGGGAAAGCAAGCGCCUUAACGCCCAGUCUUAGCUCCCGGCAGGAGCCGACCUGGUUCUGGAAGCACUGAACUCACAGAUCACUGGGGCAAGUUGACCUCGUGAGGCCAGAUCCUCAGAUGGCCCCAAGCUUCCCACCUCCCAGCAUACAGGCCUGUGUGACCCCCUCCCCCGGAGGCGCACACACACAGUGGGCCAGGUGGGCCCUCACUCCCAGGGUUCCGUUGUUCCUCCGAAGGGAGAGUGUGCGGGUGGGCGUGGCCUCCUCAGGGGAGCCCCCUGGGAGUGGAGGGCAUUCCCUGGCCAACAGCCGAUGAGAGAAGGGCCUCAGUCCUCGAGGCACAGGUUGGGUGCGGUUGGGGCCGGGAGGGAGCCUUCGCGAUCAGGGCCCGGGGGCAGGGGGUCUGGAAGGAAGGGAGAGCCGCUUCCUUCUAGCCAGCGAAGGGUCGCAGCCACGGCGGGACUGGGGCUGAUGGAGGGCCCCUUGUCCUCAGUGAGGCUGCUGGCGCCGGGCCUCUGGCCUCACGCUUGGCUGGCCCGGGCCGGAGUUCCUGGGAGGAGGGCGCUGCAGCUCUGGGGGCCUUCUUCUUGGGACCUUGCACCCGUUUGAACGUGCAGCUCACAGAGGAUGGGCCGCAGACGAGCUGGGAAGCUGCGGGGACGGCUGUUGGGCUCCGGAACUACACGAGGCCACCAGGCCCGGUGAGCGGUCACCCAGCCGGCCCGGGGGGCAGCGUGGGCCGGGGUGGGCCGGGUGCCGAGGAUGCACCCGAGAGACAAGGCCGGCCCUCUCUUGCUUGGCCAGGCCUCCUUGCUGGGGGGCGAGUCCGCACGUGGGCGAUAGAAGCACCAAGCGGCAGCAAGAAGCGCUUGAGAUGGAGAGGCCCUCCUGAGGUCCUGACGCGAGCAGGGGCGAGAAGCCAGCUGUUCCACGACGGAGGACGGGGCGUUCCAGCAGAGCAUGCUGCGGGCAGCUUGCGGCUCACGGGUCCCAGUGUGACAUCACUGUGUCCUCUGUUCCGGGUCUCGCGGGGUUGCCAUGGAGGUCGCCAUGGAGGGUCGCCUGGGCUGCCUUCUCAUCAGAGACUUGGGGCCUGUCCCCAGCUCACGUCGUUCUUGGUAGAGGUCAGUUUCCUGGGACUCUAGGACUCCGGUCCCUCUUCUCAUGCCGUGCCACCUGGUGCCCUCCAGAGGCCCGUUCCUGCUUCGAGCAUCUCUCCUUGGAGGAAGGGCCCCUUCGCAGUGCGGGGCUCCCCUGAGGAGGCCACGCCGUCCCGCACACUCUCCCUUUGGAGGAACUCAGCUGAAACUGGCAAGCUCACCGUCAGGGUAUAUAGACACGCGAAGGACCUAGAAAGAAGAGCAAAGUUGCAGGGCUCUCAUUACCUGAUUGCAGAGCUUACUACGAAGCCACGGUGAUCGAGGCAAUGUGGUCUAAGCACGAGG